ACGGAAGGCAGCAGUGAGGAAUAUUGGUCAAUGGACGCAAGUCUGAACUAGCCAUGCCGCGUGCAGGAAUAAGGCCCUAUGGGUCGUAAACUGCUUUUGUGGUGGAGCAAUAAGUCGUACGUGUACGACGAUGAGAGUACAUCACGAAUAAGCAUCGGCUAACUCCGUGCCAGCAGCCGCGGUAAUACGGAGGAUGCAAGCGUUAUCCGGAUUUAUUGGGUUUAAAGGGUGCGUAGGCUGUGGUCCAAGUCAGGGGUGAAAGCCCGGCGCUUAACGCCGGAACUGCCUUUGAUACUGGAUUGCUGGAAUACGGAUGCCGUGGGAGGAAUGAGUAGUGUAGCGGUGAAAUGCAUAGAUAUUACUCAGAACACCGAUUGCGAAGGCAUCUCACGAAUCCGUCAUUGACGCUGAGGCACGAAAGCGUGGGGAUCAAACAGGAUUAGAUACCCUGGUA
rnacentral:rRNA from 1 species